rnacentral:tRNA from 1 species
GCAGUCGUGGCCGAGUGGUUAAGGCGAUGGACCAUUGGGGUCUCCCCGCACAGGCUGGAAUCCUGUCAACUGCA